ACCUAGCUGGCUCAGAGGAGCAUGUGACUCUUGAUCUCCAGGUCAUGAGUUCAAGUCCCAUGCUAGAUG
rnacentral:tRNA from 1 species